AUGGCUGUGCUGGUGCUGCUCCUCUGCCUGGUGACCUUUCCAAGCUCUGUCUUGACCCAGGUACAACUGAAGGAGACAGGACCUGACCUAGUGCAACCAACACAGACCCUGUCCCUCACCUGCACUGUCUCCGGGUUCUCAUUAACCAACUACCGUGUACACUGGGUCCGUCAGCCUCCAGGAAAGGGUCUGGAGUGGUUGGGAAUAAUGUGGGCUGAUGGAAGCACAGAUUAUAAUUCAGCAAUUAAAUCCAGACUGAGCAUCAGCAGGGACACCUCCAAGAGCCAAGUUUUCUUAAAAAUCAACAGUCUGCAAACUGAUGACACAGCCAUGUAUUACUGUGCCAGAAACACAGUGAGGGAAGUUGAUUGUGAACCUGAACAAAAACUUCCCUACAGGGAUGCUCAGGACCAGCAGAGGGCAAUAAAGACAAACAAUGAUAUCCAGGACCACUUCAGACUCUAG